AUUGAACGCUGGCGGCAGGCCUAACACAUGCAAGUCGAGCGGAUGAAGGGAGCUUGCUCCUGGAUUCCGCGGCGGACGGGUGAGUAAUGCCUAGGAAUCUGCCUGGUAGUGGGGGAUAACGUCCGGAAACGGGCGCUACUACCGCAUACGUCCUGCGGGAGCAAGUGGGGGAUCUUCGGACCUCUCGCUCUCAGAUGAGCCUAGGUCGGAUUAGCUAGUUGGUGGGUUAAAGGCCUACCAAGGCGACGAUCCGUAACUGGUCUGAGAGGAUGAUCAGUCACACUGGAACUGAGACACGGUCCAGACUCCUACGGGAGGGAGCAGACGGGAAUAUUGGACAGUGGGCGAAAGCAUGAUACAGUCAGGCCGCGUGUGUGAAGGAGGUCUUCGGAGUGUAAAGCACGUUAAGUUGGGAGGAAGGGCAGUAAGUUAAGACCUUGCUGGAUUGACGGUACCAGCAGAAUAAGCACCGGCUAACUUCGUG
rnacentral:rRNA from 1 species